CGCGAUUCGCCCUUGGGGGUGCCCGCCGAUUGAUUUCUCUUCAAUGCUUGCAGGUGCAAUUGGGGAGCGCCAUCGUGCCACUCUUAUCGGGGUGGCUUUUAUGAAGUGUAAAAAGCUUCCAAAAUAUAAGCUGGGUAAUACCGGGGCCAGACUCCGCGGUAACACCGGCCGGUCAGGGGCCGGCCAUUAUUAUCGUGGCUAACGCGUUCGUACCCGGCCUGAUUAUUCUCUGGUGAAGUCCCAUAGCUGAUCUAUGGAAUUUGCUGGAAAUCCUAUCAUGCUUGAGAUCUGGAGAGGUUACGGGUACUCCCAGGGUACGGGUGAAAUCCUAUAAUCCUGGGAGGACCUCCUGUGACAAAUGCGCCGACGUGUACCGACUCUUACGGUGAGUAACUAACGCCAAGGGCUCGAACCGGAUUAGAUACCUGGGUAGUCGUGGCCGUAAACGAUGUGCACUUGCUGUUGGAAGGUCUUCAAGCUGCUCCACUGCCAAAUGUAAGCUGUGAAAUCCACCGUCUGCUAAUUGCUGUCUCCAGACUGAUACUUAUUUGACUUGUGCUGCGACCAC
rnacentral:rRNA from 1 species